rnacentral:rRNA from 1 species
UACGUAGGGGGCAAGCGUUGUCCGGAAUCAUUGGGCGUAAAGCGCGUGUAGGCGGCUUGGUAAGUCUGGUGUGAAACCUCGGGGCUCAACCCCGAGCCUGCACUGGAUACUGCCUCGCUCGAGUCCGGGAGGGGAGAGCGGAAUUCCGAGUGUAGCGGUGAAAUGCGCAGAUAUUAGGAAGAACACCGGUGGCGAAGGCGGCUCUCUGGAACGGUACUGACGCUGAGACGCGAAAGCGUGGGGAGCAAACAGG